UAUUGCGCAAUGGGGGAAACCCUGACGCAGCAACGCCGCGUGAGUGAGGAAGGCCUUCGGGUCGUAAAGCUCUGUUCUUAGGGAAAAAUGGUUAGGGAGCUAAUACCCCCUGAUUUGAUGGUACCUAAGGAGAAAGGACCGGCUAACUUCGUGCCAGCAGCCGCGGUAAUACGAAGGGUCCAAGCGUUGUUCGGAUUUAUUGGGCGUAAAGCGCGCGCAGGUGGAUCAGCAAGUCAGAUGUUUAAUCUCAGGGCUCAACCCUGAAACUGCGUCUGAAACUGCUAGUCUAGAGUGUUGGAGGGGGCAGGGGGAUUUCACGUGUAGGGGUAAAAUCCGUAGAGAUGUGAAGGAACACCGGAGGCGAAGGCGCCUGCCUAGACAACUACGACACUGAGGCGCGAAA
rnacentral:rRNA from 1 species